rnacentral:rRNA from 1 species
AUUGAACGCUGGCGGCAUGCCCUACACAUGCAAGUCGAACGGCAGCACGGAGCUUGCUCUGGUGGCGAGUGGCGAACGGGUAAGUAAUAUAUCGGAACGUACCCAAGAGUGGGGGAUAACGUAGCGAAAGUUACGCUAAUACCGCAUACGAUCUAAGGAUGAAAGCAGGGGACCUUCGGGCCUUGUGCUCCUGGAGCGGCCGAUAUCUGAUUAGCUAGUUGGUGAGGUAAAGGCUCACCAAGGCAUCGAUCAGUAGCUGGUCUGAGAGGACGACCAGCCACACUGGAACUGAGACACGGUCCAGACUCCUACGGGAGGCAGCAGUGGGGAAUUUUGGACAAUGGGGGCAACCCUGAUCCAGCAAUGCCGCGUGAGUGAAGAAGGCCUUCGGGUUGUAAAGCUCUUUUGUCAGGGAAGAAACGGUGAAGGCUAAUAUCCUUUGCUAAUGACGGUACCUGAAGAAUUAGCACCGGCUAACUCCGUGCCAGCCGCCGCCGUAAAAC